UACGUAGGGGGCAAGCGUUGUCCGGAUUUAUUGGGCGUAAAGAGCGUGUAGGCGGCUUUACAGGUCCGUUGUGAAAACUCGAGGCUCAACCUCGAGACGCCGGUGGAAACCGUAAGGCUAGAGUCCGGAAGAGGAGAGUGGAAUUCCUGGUGUAGCGGUGAAAUGCGCAGAUAUCAGGAGGAACACCUAUUGCGAAGGCAGCUCGCUGGGACGUUACUGACGCUGGGACGCGAAAGCGUGGGGAGCAAACAGG
rnacentral:rRNA from 1 species